ACUGAGGUUACUCUUACUCUUGAGUUUUUAAGGAAGAGUGUGGUUUUAUCGCUUCUGGGCCUUUGGCUAAGAUCAAAUGUGGAAGAGUGUGGUUUAGAUACUUAGAAAUGUCUUUGUUUAAAAAAAACUUUUUUUAAAGUGCACUGUAAAAGCAUCACGUGGUCUAAGCUCAUAAUAAUUCUCCCUUUUUGGAGACCCAGGAUUCGGUGUGGACUUUGCCCAGAGCUCAGAGAUCUAGUUAAAAGAUAGGUGGUCCCUAUCUAAAUAAAAUUGGUAUCCUUAUACAAUCCUGUGAUAGAUUUCUGUAAUUUUAUGUUUGACUUGGCAUCCAUCUUUUUUUUUUUUUUUUUUUUUUUUUGAGACAGAGUUUCACUCUUGUUGCCCAGGCUGGAAUGCAAUGGUAUGAUCUCGACUCACUGCAACCUCUGCCUCCUGGGUUCAAGAGAUUCUCCUGCUCAGCUUCCCUAGUAGCUGAGAUUACAGGUCCUUGGCCACUGCCCAGGCCCUGAAUUCUGACCGGGAAACCUGAGAAACUUUCUGAAGGCCUUGGAGUUGAUGGGCAGCUCCGUCACUUCUGUCCUGAGGCCUGUCUCCCCGGUGCAUGCCAUGGAGUGCCGGGGACACAUGGGAUCAUGUCUUGGACAUGCAAGUGAUGACCAGAGUACCCAGGAUGCAACAGUGGUUGCCUGGCUGGCGGGCAGGAACUGGAUGAAAUGCUCACUGGGGAACUGAAUGACCCAGCAGUCAGCCUGAGAACCAGCUCAGCCUUCUUCAGAAGUCAAGGCCACAGUCACAAGAAAGAGGAACAGACCGAUGUGGUGGAACCGGAACAGCCUGUCUCCAUCUUCCCCCAAGAACCAAGAGAUUAAAGCGGUCCUUCUGCAAGCUUCUGGGUCCAGGAACUCGGAGCUGGAAGAGCAAAUACCACGUCUGGUCUACUGAAUUGGCAAGCCUCCUGGCUCAGGCACCACUGGACUCCAAUGUUCAGAAAACGGACAGUUGCUAUGUUGAGCUCAUCUGCACUAAAGGAUUAGAAGCAAAUAGAAUCUACCCCACGAUCCAAGCUCAAAGGAUCUGGCCUGCUUGCUGGUGUCUUCCCCUGGCCUCCGCUGGGUGGUGUUUGCCUGCCCAGGUCACUGAGACCAGCAGAUCCUUCUAGGCUUUGCUGAACCUGGCUGGUAAUAACUAUCUGACCCUUCAAUUCUUCCAUACACUGAACUCGUUGCUCCAGUGAAUCCCUUUCCCAGCCCACCUUGUUUUGUCUCUGCCUUUCUGUCUCUCCCACUUUCUCACCCUUUCAUGUAAUUCAGCAACUAUUUUAAAACAAAUAGCUUUAUAUGAACAAAAGGACUAGAUCAUGAACUACACUGGUUAUUUGGAAGUCUAGGUUCUGGUCCUGCUACCCCUUUAACUUGAGUUAUUUACAAGUCUGUUUAAAAGUUUCUAGACAUACACUGGUUUGUUUUUUGUUUGGCUAUCGUUUUGUUUUUCAUUUCUAAUUGUAUUGCAUUGUGGUGAGAGAAGAUGGUCCGUGUUGUAUUAUUUUUGGGUGGGGAGAUGUGUUAAGAUUUCCUUUGCAGUUUAGCUUAUGGUCAAUUUUUGUGAAUGUGUAUACUCUGCUUAGAACGUAGUUCAGAAUAUUUCUAUUAGGUCAUGCUAUUGUGUUAGUCAAAUAGUCUUGAUCUUUAUUUUUUAAAGUGCUUAAUAUUUUAUUUUCCAAGAGAGAUAUGUUAAAAUCUAACACUGUGAUUUUUGGGGUCAAUUUUUCCUUUUUUUUUUUUUUUUUUUUUUUGAGACCGGUUCUCACUCUGUGCCUAGGCUGGAGUGCAGUGGUGCGAUCUUAGCCUCAAUCUCUCCGGGCUCAUGUGAUCCUCCUGCCUGUCCUCACUGUAGCUGGGACUACAGGCUCACACCACCACGCCUGGCUUUUUGUAUUUUUUUUGUAGAGAUGGGGUUUCCCCAUGUUGUCCAGGCUGGUCUUGAACUCCUGGGCUCACAAAGUGCUGUAAUCACAAAGUGCUGGGAUUACAGCUGCGAGCCAGUGUGCCCAGCCUCUCCUUAUUCUUUAACAGCUUUUGCUUUACAUAUUCUGAAUGUAUGUCAUUAGACGAAAACAUGCUCAUGACUAUUUUAUCUUCUUCUUGUAGUGUUUCUUUUAUCUCUAAGAAAUAUUUCCUCUUAGUUUCUUUUCACCUUGACUUCAACUUUGAUAUUAAUAUUCCUACACCCACUUUGUGCUAGUGUUUUCCAGAUAUGGUAAGUUGAUCAAAAAGAUGACACAAUAACUCCUUCCCUUCCUGAAUCCAUACGCCUUGUGACUUUGCCUCUGUUCUAAUAAGAGGUGAAGUCCAUUUCCUUAUUCGUUGAAUCAUGUUUGGCAUUGUGACUUGUGAAUACAGAAGGCAGCAGAACUAAUGCUAUGGGACAUCUGAGUCUAGUCCUCACCAGGUCUCCCAGCUGCUGAUCUCAUCACCUGGAACGCUGCUCCCACCAUGUGUAGAAGCCUGGGUUAGUGUCCUGGAGGAUGAGAGACAAUGUGGAGGGUGAGGCUGGCCAACAGCCUGCACCAGCUGUGUAAGACCAUCUGAGAUGACUGUAGCUGCAUGAGUGAACCCAGGGGAGACAUGCAGAGACUUGCCCAGCUGUCUUACUUGUUACUUUAAGCCAUUCAGUUUUUUCUAAGAUAAAAAAGGUUAGUUUAUCUAGGCAGAAAUAGUAUGUAAAUAAUUAUACAAGUAGUACAUGGAUAUGACGAAAACCUUGAAGCUGAUGUGCAAAGAGCUGAAAUUUGGAAAAUACUUAAUGAGAGAAUGGCCUAAAGAGCUAUUCGGUACUCUGAAUUCCCCAAAGGCAAGGACCAAUAUUUAUCCACCUCCGAUAUCUCCUCCGGAACCUUACACAGUACUUGGAACACAGUGGACUCUCUACAAAUACCAAAUUGGGAAUUAACUCUUAUUAUAAACACUGAGUGUCAGCCCUGGUUCUUCCGGGCUCCAAAACUAACAUAUGAGUAGAUUUCUCCAGGUAGACAAGAGUGAGGUAAACCCCCAAGAAUCAGGAACUAGAGCCAAGUAAAGAAUAAGCCCCGAGAAGCUUUGAGUAAAAAAGGAUACUGUUUGCACAUUGCGUAUUGGAAAACAAGUAGAAAGUCCAAAAACAAAAUAAAAACUUACAGCAGGAAGAAAAAAAAAAAAAGCCCCACAAACUCUACAGCUUAAGUUAGCCUAACCACAGCUGAGAUAUUUCUUCCGAAAGAACUAAAUGACAAGUUGAGAGAAAGGCCCCAUUGUCAGGUCAGCUGUUCCUGAGAAGAACUAAAUUCAAAACUAGACAAAACUCUCUCACUACUAAAAACGCAUAUAGACAGGGAAGCAUUUUUUCAAGUUAUACUAAUAAGUUGACUUGGAUGCUUUAAUAGCUUUCAUGAAUAAUUCUGAAAAUUGUUUAGCAUAUUUGAGGAACUCCACAACUACUUAGAAUAAAAAGAAAAGCAACUUUUUAAAAUUUAGUAGUAUCUCAAAAAAGAAAAACCUAGUUACAUGUUCUUGUAAAGAAGUUUCACUAUUAAUAUCAAAUGCUCCAGAAGUUUACUUUAUAAGACAUAUUCAAAAUAUAUACCCAAUAAUCUAAAUUUAGAUGCUAGAGUAGCAAUAUAAUUUUGGUUCUCCAAAGAUUACCAAGCAUGAAAUAGCAGUCUCCUUGGGGUGUUGCCAAACCAGGUGUCUUUACA
rnacentral:lncRNA from 10 species